GUCGUUAUCCAGCAGCCCGUUCAUGUUGGCGCUCUUCACCAUCUGCACCAGGAUGGGUGUCAGCUCACCCUCCAGAGCCAGCAAACCCUGCUCACACACACACAAGGAACACAAUGAACACAAUGAAGUGCAGGAAAACACAGCUGUGUGUCUCACCUUGACCUCCGGGGUACAUACAGCGGAAAGCCCUUCCCAGCUCCUCAGCCUGAACUCUGCCAGCAGGAGUCAGCUCUCCUCCCCACUUCAGCACCAGCAGCAGAGACGCACCUUCCUUACGAGUGUCUGAAAAACGAAUCCAAAGGUUAAUACUUACUUACAGUAUUCUAAGCCAGCUUUAACUUUUGAGUAGGAGGUGAAGAAAUCUUCCUACCUUCUUCCUCACUUGAGGUUUUGGGCUGCCCAUGGGGCAGGUAGGUUAGUUGCACUUUUCUGUUGAUCCCCGAGAAGUGUCCAUACCUUUAAUGGCAAGAAAAUAAAACACAUCUUGAGUCAUAAAAA